CCGCCGUUACAGCGAGAGGAAGAGAGAGCAGCUCUCAACUGUCCGAACAAGAUGGGGAAGACCCGUGGUAUGGGAGCUGGGCGCAAGCUGAAAACUCACAGGAGGAGACAGCGUUGGGCAGACAAAUCCUACAAGAAGAGCCAUCUCGGAAAUGAGUGGAAGAAACCAUUUGCUGGUUCUUCCCAUGCCAAGGGCAUCGUCCUUGAGAAGAUAGGCAUUGAGGCCAAGCAGCCCAACUCUGCCAUCCGUAAGUGUGCCAGGGUUCAGCUUAUUAAGAAUGGAAAGAAAAUUGCAGCUUUC
rnacentral:misc_RNA from 1 species